rnacentral:rRNA from 1 species
UACGUAGGGUGCGAGCGUUGUCCGGAAUUAUUGGGCGUAAAGAGCUCGUAGGCGGUGUGUCACGUCGAUCGUGAAAACUUACAGCUUAACUGUGAGCGUGCGGUCGAUACGGGCAUCACUGGAGUUCGGCAGGGGAGACUGGAAUUCCUGGUGUAGCGGUGAAAUGCGCAGAUAUCAGGAGGAACACCGAUGGCGAAGGCAGGUCUCUGGGCCGAUACUGACGCUGAGGAGCGAAAGCGUGGGGAGCGAACAGG